rnacentral:rRNA from 1 species
CACUCCUACGGGAGGCAGCAGUGGGGAAUUUUGGACAAUGGGCGAAAGCCUGAUCCAGCAAUGCCGCGUGAGUGAAGAAGGCCUUCGGGUUGUAAAGCUCUUUUGUCAGGGAAGAAACGGUGAGAGCUAAUAUCUUUUGCUAAUGACGGUACCUGAAGAAUAAGCACCGGCUAACUACGUGCCAGCAGCCGCGGUAAUACGUAGGGUGCAAGCGUUAAUCGGAAUUACUGGGCGUAAAGCGUGCGCAGGCGGUUUUGUAAGUCUGAUGUGAAAUCCCCGGGCUCAACCUGGGAAUUGCAUUGGAGACUGCAAGGCUAGAAUCUGGCAGAGGGAGGUAGAAUUCCACGUGUAGCAGUGAAAUGCGUAGAUAUGUGGAGGAACACCGAUGGCGAAGGCAGCCCCCUGGGUCAAGAUUGACGCUCAUGCACGAAAGCGUGGGGAGCAAACAGGAUUAGAAACCCGUGUAGUCCC